UACAGAGGGUGCGAGCGUUAAUCGGAAUUACUGGGCGUAAAGCGUGCGUAGACGGCUAUCUAAGUCGGGUGUGAAAGCCCCGGGCUCAACCUGGGAAUUGCAUUCGAGACUGAAUAGCUAGGGUACGGUAGAGGGAAGUGGAAUUUCCGGUGUAGCGGUGAAAUGCGUAGAUAUCGGAAGGAACAUCAGUGGCGAAGGCGGUUCUCUGGGCAUUACCUGACGCUGAGGAGCGAAAGUGUGGGGAGCGAACAGG
rnacentral:rRNA from 1 species